AAGACUAUGCUUUCAGAGAUCAUUUCUAUAGUUUAUUACUAGAGAAGAUUCUCUGAUAGUGUAAAGCACAAAAAAAGAAAAGAAAAGA
rnacentral:snoRNA from 1 species